GACGAACGCUGGCGGCGUGCUUAACACAUGCAAGUCGAACGAAGUGGCGAACGGGUGAGUAACGCGUAAUCAACCUGCCCUUCAGAGGGGGACAACAGUUGGAAACGACUGCUACUACCGCAUACUGAAGGAGGGGAUUGGGUCUGAUUAGCUAGUGGGAGGGGUAACGGCCUACCAAGGCGAUGAUCAGUAGCCGGUCUGAGAGGAUGAAGGGCCACAGUGGGACUGAGACACGGCCCAGACUCCUACGGGAGGCAGCAGUGGGGGAGCUUCCGCAAUGGACGAAAGGCUGACGGAGCAACGCCGCGUGAGUGAUGACGGCCUUCGGGUUGUAAAGCGCUGUUAAUCGGGACGCGGUACCGGAAUAGAAAGCCACGGCUAACUACGUGCCAGCAGCCGCGGUAAUUC
rnacentral:rRNA from 1 species